AGGCUGUGGACUGGAAAAACAACCAGAAAAGACAAAAGAGUAAUAUGAUGUGGACAGUAACUGAGGUGGGCUACUUGGGAAAGGGUGAUCAGGCAACGCGUCUUGUGACGGCUGAGACCUGAGCGGACUUGUCACCGCACAGUCUGAGGUUCCCUGCUCAGGAGGAAAAGCAUGCAGAGUUGAGGAAAGGAAGUAUGCACCGGAACCAGUGCAGAACAUGUGACAGACAGAGACAGGAAGCUCCGGAGGUCAUUGAGCACAAGAGAAGACUUGAGGAAGCGUCACAGGCAAGAGGAACCUACUAAGCAAAUGACAGGUCACUGUGAUGUGGUAAAGAAACUAAAACCAUCCACAUGAGGACAAUACUAGUGCUGGCCUGUAGCUCCCAGUACCAGGAUGCAGUUAACACUCACAAUGAGCUGUUGAUCA